rnacentral:rRNA from 1 species
GACGAACGUUGGCGGCGUGCUUAAUACAUGCAAGUCAACUGAAGCAGAGGUAGUAAUAUCUCUGUGGAGGUGGCGCACGGGUGAGUAACACGUAGGUAAUCUGCCUUCAGGUCUGACAUAACCCCGAGAAAUCGGGGCUAAUAGCAGAUGAUGCAGCGGCUUGACAUCAAGACAGUUGUUAAAGCUUCGGCGCCUGAAGAUGAGCCUGCGCUGAUUAGCUAGUUGGCGGAGUAACAGCCCACCAAGGCUACGAUCAGUAGCUGGUCUGAGAGGAUGAUCAGCCACACUGGAACUGAGACACGGUCCAGACUCC